CGCAAUGGGCGAAAGCCUGACGGAGCAGCGCCGCGUGAGGGACGAAGGCCUCUGGGCUGUAAACCUCUUUUCUCAAGGAAGAAGAUAUGACGGUACUUGAGGAAUAAGCCACGGCUAAUUCCGUGCCAGCAGCCGCGGUAAUACGGGAGUGGCAAGCGUUAUCCGGAAUUAUUGGGCGUAAAGCGUCCGCAGGCGGCUUUUCAAGUCUGCUGUUAAAACGUGGAGCUUAACUCCAUCAUGGCAGUGGAAACUGAAAGGCUUGAGUAUGGUAGGGGCAGAGGGAAUUCCCGGUGUAGCGGUGAAAUGCGUAGAUAUCGGGAAGAACACCAGUGGCGAAGGCGCUCUGCUGGGCCAUUACUGACGCUCAUGGACGAAAGCCAGGGGAGCGAAAGGGAUUAGAUACCCCUGUAGUCCUGGCCGU
rnacentral:rRNA from 1 species